rnacentral:rRNA from 1 species
UACGAAGGGGGCUAGCGUUGCUCGGAAUCACUGGGCGUAAAGGGUGCGUAGGCGGGUCUUUAAGUCAGGGGUGAAAUCCUGGAGCUCAACUCCAGAACUGCCUUUGAUACUGAGGGUCUUGAGUCCGGGAGAGGUGAGUGGAACUGCGAGUGUAGAGGUGAAAUUCGUAGAUAUUCGGAAGAACACCAGUGGCGAAGGCGACUCACUGGCCCGAUACUGACGCUGAGGCGCGAAAGCGUGGGGAGCAAACAGG